rnacentral:rRNA from 1 species
CUACGGGGUGCAGCAGUGAGGAAUAUUGGACAAUGGGCGAAAGCCUGAUCCAGCGACGCCGCGUGGGUGAAGAAGGCCUUCGGGUUGUAAAGCCCUGUCAGAGGGGACGAAGUUCUGACGGUACCCUCAGAGGAAGCACAGGCUAACUCCGUGCCAGCAGCCGCGGUAAUACGGAGUGUGCGAGCGUUGCUCGGAAUCACUGGGCGUAAAGGGCACGUAGGCGGCCUCGUGUGUUGGGUGUGAAAGCCCACGGCUCAACCGUGGAACUGCACUCAAAACUGCGAGGCUAGAGUACGGAAGAGGAAGGCGGAAUUCCCAGUGUAUGGGUGAAAUCCGUAGAUAUUGGGAAGAACACCAGUGGCGAAGGCGGCCUUCUGGGACGAUACUGACGCUGAUGUGCGAAAGCGUGGGGAGCAAACAGGAUUAGAUACCCUCGUAGUC